ensembl:lncRNA
GAAGACAGACUGUUGUGUCUUCUGGUCUUGUAGUCGGUUUCUAAAAGCUCACAUUUAGAAAAAGGAGAAAAGAAGGAGAACCAGAAAGGAAGCAAAGAAGAAAUAAUCCAAGGAAUAGAAUAGGAACCAAGAGAGUCAGAGAAACAAGGAGGAGAAAGUUUCAAGAAACGGACAGUGGUUAACUGUGCAAAACAAAUUGAGGAAGGAAGACGAGGACUAAAACGGGACCUUUAAGUGAGCAAUGAGGAUACCAUGACAGCAUUUGACAGCAUUUUCACCAGAAUGGAUAAUAUCUCUGCCUAAGUACAACAAACUGAAUUACUUGGAGGAGGAAGACAGCAGAGACAGAGGAUACAGAGCCACGGCAGCUGAAAGAAAGAAAACUCAGCAGGGGUAACCCUAAUCUCCUAACCUCCAGGAUCUAAUGCCUGAUGAUCUGAGGUGGAGCUGAGGUAAUAAUAAUAAUAGACAUAAAGUGCGCAGUUAAUGUGAUAUGUCUGAAUCAUCCGGAAACCAUCACCCCCGCCCUGGU